rnacentral:rRNA from 1 species
UACGGAGGGUGCAAGCGUUGUCCGGAUUUAUUGGGUUUAAAGGGUGCGUAGGCGGCCUAAUAAGUCAGUGGUGAAAGCCUCCAGCUUAACUGGAGAACUGCCAUUGAUACUGUUAGGCUUGAGUAUACUUGAGGUAGGCGGAAUUGACAGUGUAGCGGAUGAAAUGCAUAGAUAUUGUCAAGAACACCAAUUGCGAAGGCAGCUUACUAAAUUAUAACUGACGCUGAGGCAC